GGAUCUCUUAAAGCCGUUCUCAGUUCGGACUGUAGGCUGCAACUCGCCUACACGAAGCUGGAAUCGCUAGUAAUCGCGGAUCAGCACGCCGCGGUGAAUACGUUCCCGGGCCUUGUACACACCGCCCGUCACACCAUGAGAGUCUGUAGCACCCAAAGCCGGUGGGAUAACCUUUAUAGGAGUCAGCCGUCUAAGGUAGGACAGAUGAUUAGGGUGAAGUCGUAACAAGGUAUC
rnacentral:rRNA from 1 species